rnacentral:rRNA from 1 species
CCCAAUACUCACCCUUCAGCCCAAUACCGGUUACUCACUGAAGCCAAGCAGGGUUGAGCCCGGUGAGUACCUGAAUGAGAGACCACAUGGGAAAGCUAGGUUGCUGUUGGAA